rnacentral:misc_RNA from 1 species
CAUUUAUGCAGGACCUCUUGGUCCUAAAUCUUGCAAGUUGAUAGAGUAUUUUGAGGCAAUUGAAGGAGUACCCAGAAUAAGACCUGGAUAUAAUCCAGCUACAUGGAUGUUGGAGGUUACUUCGUCAGUAGAAGAAACUCGACUUGGUGUUGAUUUUGCAGAAAUUUACCAAAGAUCAAACCUUUUUCAAUAUAAUCAAGUUUUGGUUGAAAGGCUAAGCAGGUCACGUGGCGAUUCAAAAGAUUUGAAUUUCCCUGCUAAGUAUUGUCAGUCCUAUUUCAGUCAGUUCCUAGCUUGCCUUUGGAAGCAAAAUCUCUCAUAUUGGCGCAAUCCACAAUAUACUGCUGUUCGCUUCUUCUAUACGCUCAUCAUAUCUUUGAUGCUUGGGACAAUUUGUUGGAGAUUCGGAUCAAAAAG